AGAGUUUGAUCAUGGCUCAGAGCGAACGCUGGCGGCGUGCUUAACACAUGCAAGUCGAGCGGAAAGGCCCUUCGGGGUACUCGAGCGGCGAACGGGUGAGUAACACGUGAGCAAUCUGCCCCUAGCUUCGGGAUAGCUCCGGGAAACCGGAAUUAAUACCGGAUAUGACUUUGUCCGACAUCGGCUUUUGUGGAAAGAUU
rnacentral:rRNA from 1 species